AUGGCGAACAUCGCGAAGAAAGUGUCGUGGUCCAGUCGGGGUGACGAGCCGGCCCAGGGGGAGGGUACUCCGCUGCUUAAUGGCACUGGCGCAGCAAGAUAUUCCAGACAGUUUUCCGGUGGUAAGCUCUUUCAUAUAGGAAGGCUCAGCACCGUGGACCUUGAAGAAGAAAUAGACGAAGAGGAGUCAGUUGUUUCCCGGCCAAAGGAGAUUCCACACAACGAGAAGCUCCUUUCCCUGAAAUAUGAGAGCCUCGACUAUGACAACAGUGAAAAUCAGCUGUUUCUGGAGGAGGAAAGACGGAUGAGCCAAAUGGGCUUUAAGUGCCUGGAGAUGAGUCGCUGGCUGGUGUGUGCCCUCAUUGGGAUCCUCACCGGCCUCAUCGCCUGCUUCAUCGACAUCGUGGUGGAGAACCUGGCCGGUCUCAAGUACCAAGUCAUUCAGCAGAAUAUUGAAAGGUUCACAGAGACAGGGGGAUUGUCCAUCUCCCUGAUCUUAUGGGUGCUGCUCAACUCCGCUUUUGUCAUGGUGGGCUCUGUGAUAGUGGCCUUCUUCGAGCCGAUUGCAGCUGGAAGUGGAAUUCCCCAGAUAAAGUGUUACCUGAAUGGUGUGAAAAUACCCCGUGUUGUGCGUCUUAAGACUCUCGUGGUGAAGGUCUGUGGAGUGAUUUGUUCAGUGGUCGGCGGCCUCGCCGUGGGGAAGGAAGGACCCAUGAUCCACUCGGGUGCUGUGGUGGCGGCUGGCAUUUCCCAAGGCAGGAGCACAUCUCUGAAGAGGGACUUCAAGAUCUUCGAAUACUUCCGCCGGGACACAGAGAAGAGGGACUUUGUAUCGGCGGGCGCGGCUGCAGGGGUGUCUGCUGCUUUCGGAGCUCCUGUGGGUGGUGUCCUUUUCAGCUUGGAGGAGGGAGCCUCCUUCUGGAACCAGAUGCUGACCUGGAGAAUCUUCUUCGCUUCCAUGAUCUCGACCUUCACCCUGAACUUCUUCAUGAGUAUCUACCACAACAAGCCGGGAGAUUUUAGUAACCCGGGUCUCAUCAACUUUGGACGCUUUGACAGCGAUAGCACAGAGUACUACCUAUAUGAGAUUCCUCUGUUUAUCAUCAUGGGAGCCUUCGGUGGAUUGCUUGGAGCACUGUUCAACGUCCUGAACUACUGGCUCACCAUCCUCAGGAUCAGGUAUAUCCACCGGCCCUGCCUGCAGGUGAUGGAGGCCGUGCUGGUUGCCGCCGUGACGGCCACCGUGUCCUUCACUAUGAUCUACUUCUCUGACGACUGCCAGCCCCUGGGGGAGGAUCAGCUGGAGGAAUACCCCUUGCAGCUGUUCUGUGCUGAUGGCGAGUACAAUUCCAUGGCCACAGCCGUCUUCAACACCCCGGAGAGGAGUGUCCGCAGCCUGUUCCACAGCCCCGCAGGUUCCUACAAUCCCGUGACCUUGGGAAUCUUCACCAUUACCUACUUCUUCCUGGCCUGCUGGACAUACGGCCUGACCGUGUCCGCCGGGGUCUUCAUCCCCUCGCUGCUCAUCGGCGCCGCCUGGGGGCGGCUCUUUGGCAUCCUGCUGGCCUCCUUUACGCCGCACAAUUCCAUACAGACGUUGGCCGACCCUGGGAAGUACGCCCUCAUCGGAGCCGCCGCCCAGCUUGGUGGCAUAGUGAGGAUGACCCUCAGCCUGACUGUCAUCAUGGUGGAAGCCACCGGAAACGUCACCUAUGGCCUGCCCAUAAUGCUGGUUCUGAUGACAGCGAAGAUCGUGGGCGAUUAUUUCGUGGAGGGGCUAUAUGACAUCCACAUCAAGCUGCAAAGUGUGCCCUUCCUGCACUGGGAUGCCCCAGCCACCUCCCACUCCCUGACUGCCAGGGAGGUCAUGAGCUCUCCAGUGACCUGCUUCAACCUGGUGGAGAAGGUGGGCACUAUUGUGGAUGUGCUCAGCAACACCUCGACCAAUCACAACGGGUUCCCUGUAGUCUCCAGGUUGAGUGAUGGCUGUGAGCCAGGGAAAAUCUGUGGCUUAAUCCUGCGUUCCCAGCUUAUCGUGCUCCUGAAACACAAGGUGUUUGUGGAACGGGCUCGUUCUCGUCUCAAUCAGCGCAAACUGCAGCUGAAGGACUUCCGGGACGCCUACCCUCGCUUCCCCCCGAUCCAGUCCAUCCACGUGUCCCAAGACGAGAGGGAGUGCAUGAUGGACCUGACAGAGUUCAUGAAUCCCACACCCUACACUGUCACGCAGGAGACGUCUCUUCCUCGUGUCUUCAAGCUGUUCAGGGCCCUUGGUCUGCGGCACCUCAUUGUGGUGGACAGUGACAACCAGGUGGUGGGACUGGUGACGCGGAAGGACCUGGCCCGUUACCACCUGGGCAAACACGGCCUGGAGGAGCUCCAGCUGGCGCAGACGUGAUGCAUGGAAGGCGACUGCCACGCUGUUCAUCAGGCCGCCCCCCUGCCCCCAGCCAGCCCCCGCCAGAACCUGCACCAGACGUGCAUUACAGAAAAGUCCGGAGCCCAGAUGGUUUCUGGUUUUGUUCAUCGAGGUUGGGUUGGGAUGGGGGAGGGGUUCGAUUUCAUGUCUGUUUUCUGACUUUUUGUUGCCCCGUCCCAGUUUGCACAUAAAAUAAUUUAUCAGUUAUGUUUUUAAAGCACUUCAGAGAGAGUGUGUGUGUGUGUGUGUGUGUGUGUGUGUGUGUGUGUGUGUGUGUGUGUGUCUGUGUGUGUGUGUGUGUCUGUGUCUGUGUGUGUGAGAGAGAGGGAGAGAUUAGCCAGGCCAAAAAGUUUUUUUGAGUGUAUGUGCUGGUGUGUUGUGGGGGGUGUGGCUCAGUUUUCCCACGACUAAUUUUAUUUUAGGGGGAGUUCAUUUUCCUCUCCCAGAUAAUUGUAUUGCACAUUGUACCAUUAACCAAUGCCUCCCACUCCUCCCAUGCCAGUGCGGGUAAGACCAACCCCCCCACCCCACCCCCCGACCCGCCUUGACCUCAUGCUGGAUGCUAGCGGUUUUUAGCAUACAGUGUUUUCUCAUGAAU